AUUGAACGCUAGCGGCAGGCCUAAUACAUGCAAGUCGAACGGUGUCUUCGGACAUAGUGGCGCACGGGUGCGUAACACGUAUGCAACCUACCUUACAUUGGGGGAUAGCCUUUCGAAAGGGAGAUUAAUACCGCAUAAGACAGUAGCUGGGCAUCCAGCAGCUGUUAAAGAUUUAUCGAUGUAAGCUGGGCAUGCGUCCAAUUAGCUAGUUGGUGAGGUAACGGCUCACCAAGGCGAUGAUUGGUAGGGGAACUGAGAGGUCAAUCCCCCACACUGGCACUGAGAUACGGGCCAGACUCCUACGGGAGGCAGCAGUAGGGAAUAUUGGGCAAUGGACGCAAGUCUGACCCAGCCAUGCCGCGUGCAGGAUGAAGGCGUUAUGCGUUGUAAACUGCUUUUAUGCAGGAAGAAACGACUCUUGCGAGAGGCAUUGACGGUACUGUAUGAAUAAGCACCGGCUAACUCCGUGCCAGCCGCCGCGGUAACAC
rnacentral:rRNA from 1 species